UUAGGUCGGGAACUCAAAGGAGACUGCCAGUGAUAAACUGGAGGAAGGUGGGGAUGACGUCAAGUCAUCAUGGCCCUUACGACCAGGGCUACACACGUGCUACAAUGGCGCAUACAAAGAGAAGCGACCUCGCGAGAGCAAGCGGACCUCAUAAAGUGCGUCGUAGUCCGGAUUGGAGUCUGCAACUCGACUCCAUGAAGUCGGAAUCGCUAGUAAUCGUGGAUCAGAAUGCCACGGUGAAUACGUUCCCGGGCCUUGUACACACCGCCCGUCACACCAUGGGAGUGGGUUGCAAAAGAAGUAGGUAGCUUAACCUUCGGGAGGGCGCUUACCACUUUGUGAUUCAUGACUGGGGUGAAGUCGUAACAAGGUAACCGUAGGGGAACCUGCGGUUGGAUCACCUCCUUACCUUAAAGAAGC
rnacentral:rRNA from 9 species